AAGCAGAUGAUUCUAAAGCACAGCAAAGUUGAGACACUAAAUGCUGGGCGUGGGUACGAGCAAUGCUGCCAUCAUUUCAAUUGCGGGCUGGGCCAAAUCUUUGUGCUCAGCAAAGACCUUUUCACCAGGGGCGUGAAUAGAGGUAAGUGAGGUGGCCACUUUCUCCCAGCCCAGUUUGGUUCCUACCCAAAGGGGCAUCGCAGUGCUGUGGCUCUGCUCUGUGUGCAGGAAUGUCUUCCCUGAAGGCAUGGAGAUCCACGGAGGGUUGUGCUCUCUUGAGUUGGUGAAUAAAUAAUCAAGGACAUUCUUUAGCUGAAUGGUACCUCUGAGCAGGAAGUGUGGUCCUACCACAGCAGGUCUUGUUUGAAUGGCUGUAUGGAUUUUGCAUGAAUCACCCCUGUCCAACGCUGGAGACACCCUUUCCAGAAGAUCCUGAUUCCAGUCUGCAUCCAUCAACCAGUUGCAAGGCUCUUGGAAGCAUCUCUGGGCUUUUGAGCGAUUUCACUCGACCAGGUACUUUCUAGUUUAUAAAUACGAGAGGAUUCCAUUCCGCUUAGACAAUUCCACGAUUGAGAAUGGGCUUUCCUUUCCCCAAGCUUACGUAAACUUGCUCUCCAACUCACAGACACUUGGGCAUCGAGUUUUUAAGCUGAGCCCACAAAAACGAAGACAAGUUCACUUUUAUUAUUUCUAGAGACACCAUCAUCUUUAGUCAGUGACUUGGUGUUUUUUACCCUCCUGUACUUAGUGAGGACUUGGGAGAGAUUUCUUCUGAUGAAUCAACAUAAUUGACUUUCUAAUUAAACACAGUACAACAAUUUUAAAUUGUUUCAUGGAGCUUAUGAAAGACAGCUAGUGUCUCAACACUUGUUGAGACACGGGUGCAAAUGCAAUCAGGAAACGAGGGUUCCCUGUAUGAUCUUACAAUUGCUGCUGUGCUUAUCAGUAUGUAUUAGGGUUUGUAUCUACUUAUUACAGGUUGUGUAUCUCUUAUCUGAAAACCUUAGGGGUUGUAUUUUAUAUUUUGGAAUAUUUGAAUACACAUGGUUGGAUAUCUUGGUGAUCAUACCAACCUCUAAACAGAAAA
rnacentral:lncRNA from 1 species